AGUGAACGCUGGCGGCAGGCCUAACACAUGCAAGUCGAGCGGCAGCGCGUCCGACCACCCUCGGGUGGUCGGAUGGCGGCGAGCGGCGGACGGGUGAGGAAUGCAUCGGAAUCUGCCUCGUUGUGGGGGAUAACGUAGGGAAACUUACGCUAAUACCGCAUACGACCUACGGGUGAAAGUGGGGGACCUUCGGGCCUCACGCGAUGAGAUGAGCCGAUGCCGGAUUAGCUAGUUGGCGGGGUAAAGGACCCGACCAAGGCGACGAUCCGUAGCUGGUCUGAGAGGAUGAUCAGCCACACUGGAACUGAGACACGGUCCAGACUCCUACGGGAGGCAGCAGUGGGGAAGUAUUGGACAAUGGGGGCGAACCCCUGAUCCAGCCAUGCCGCGUGUGUG
rnacentral:rRNA from 1 species